CCUACGGGAGGCAGCAGUGGGGGAUAUUGCACAAUGGGGGAAACCCUGAUGCAGCGACGCCGCGUGGGUGAAGAAGCGCCUCGGCGCGUAAAGCCCUGUCAGCAGGGAAGAAAAUGACGGUACCUGAAGAAGAAGCCCCGGCUAACUACGUGCCAGCAGCCGCGGUAAUACGGGGGAUGCAAGCGUUAGCCGGAUUUAUUGGGUUUAAAGGGUGCGGAGGCUGGGAGGUAAGGCAGCGGGGAAAUGCCCCAGCUCAACGGGGUGAAGUGCAAUUGAUACUGCCUUGCUGGAAUGCGGAUGCCGUGGAAGGAAUGUGUGGUGUAGCGGUGAAAUGCAUAGAUAGCACAAAGAACACCGAUUGCGAAGGCAUCUCACGAAUCCGCGAUUGACGCUGAUGCACGAAAGCGUGGGUAGCAAACAGGAUUAGAUACCCUUGUAGUC
rnacentral:rRNA from 1 species